GACGAACGCUGGCGGCGUGCCUAAUACAUGCAAGUCGAGCGAAGUUUUUCUGGUGCUUGCACUAGAAAAACUUAGCGGCGAACGGGUGAGUAACACGUAAAGAACCUGCCUCAUAGACUGGGACAACUAUUGGAAACGAUAGCUAAUACCGGAUAACAGCAUUAACUGCAUGGUUAAUGUUUGAAAGUUGGUUUUGCUAACACUAUGAGAUGGCUUUGCGGUGCAUUAGCUAGUUGGUGGGGUAAAGGCCUACCAAGGCGACGAUGCAUAGCCGACCUGAGAGGGUGAUCGGCCACACUGGGACUGAGACACGGCCCAGACUCCUACGGGAGGCAGCAGUAGGGAAUCUUCCGCAAUGGGCGAAAGCCUGACGGAGCAACGCCGCGUGAGUGAAGAAGGAUUUCGGUUCGUAAAGCUCUGUUGUUAGGGAAGAAUGAUUAUGUAGUAACUAUACAUAGUAGAGACGGGUACCUAACCAGAAAGCCACGGCUAACUACGUGCCAGCAGCCGCGGUAAUACGUAGGUGGCAAGCGUUGUCCGGAAUUAUUGGGCGUAAAGCGCGCGCAGGUGGUUUAAUAAGUCUGAUGUGAGAGCCCACGGCUCAACCGGUGGAGGGUCAUUGGAAACUGUUAAACUUGAGUGCAGGAGAGAAAAGUGGAAUUCUUAGUGUAGCGGUGAAAUGCGUAGAGAUUAGGAGGGAACACCAGUGGCGAAAGCGGCUUUUUUGGCCUGUAACUGGCACUGAGGCGGGAAAGCGUGGGGAAGCAAACAGGG
rnacentral:rRNA from 1 species